UACGGGAGGCAGCAGUGGGGAAUAUUGCACAAUGGGCGCAAGCCUGAUGCAGCCAUGCCGCGUGUAUGAAGAAGGCCUUCGGGUUGUAAAGUACUUUCAGUCGUGAGGAGGGUGUUAAGGUUAAUAACCUUAGCAAUUGACGUUAGCGACAGAAGAAGCACCGGCUAACUCCGUGCCAGCAGCCGCGGUAAUACGGAGGGUGCGAGCGUUAAUCGGAAUUACUGGGCGUAAAGGGCACGCAGGCGGUUAAUUAAGUUGGAUGUGAAAUCCCCGGGCUUAACCUGGGAAUGGCAUUCAAGACUGGUUAGCUAGAGUCUUGUAGAGGGGGUAGAAUUCCAUGUGUAGCGGUGAAAUGCGUAGAGAUGUGGAGGAAUACCGGUGGGCGAAGGCGGCCCCUGGGACAAAGGACUGACGUUCAUGUGCGAAAGCGUGGGGAGCAAACAGGGAUUAGAUACC
rnacentral:rRNA from 1 species